rnacentral:tRNA from 1 species
GGGGAGCUAGCUCAGCAAAUAGAGCACAGGACUUGCAAUCCUGAGCCCCCUCCCCC